UACAGAGGUGGCAAGCGUUGUUCGGAAUUACUGGGCGUAAAGGGCGCGUAGGCGGCCUUCUAAGUCAGACGUGAAAUCCCCCGGCUUAACCCGGGAACUGCGUCUGAUACUGGGAGGCUUGAGUAUGGGAGAGGGAUGUAGAAUUCCAGGUGUAGCGGUGAAAUGCGUAGAUAUCUGGAGGAAUACCGGUGGCGAAGGCGGCAUCCUGGACCAUAACUGACGCUGAGGCGCGAAAGCUAGGGGAGCAAACGGGG
rnacentral:rRNA from 1 species